CAAUGAUUAGCAGCAGGAGAGGACAAAACACCUAAAUGCAAUGCUGAAUAUAAUCAUUUUUGUAUCUGUUUUUGAUUACAGCUGUGCAAAGUCAGACAUCAUCUGCAGUCCCUGACAGGGGCCGUUAUGGAAAAAAGUCAGAAGUCAAGAGCUCCUAACACCCCAGUAGUAUCCUGGAGGGCCUAUGAUAGACGGUGCAGUCCUGUGAUGACCCCAAAGGACCCCACAGGAGACUCCUAGACCUCAGACUGGAUCCCCCCC